AACCUGGUUGAUCCUGCCAGUAGUCAUAUGCUUGUCUCAAAGAUUAAGCCAUGCAUGUCUAAGUAUAAACUUUUAUACGGUGAAACUGCGAAUGGCUCAUUAAAAUAGUUAUAGUUUAUUUGGUGGUCUUUUUUACAUGGAUAACCAUGGUAAUUCUAUGGCUAAUACACGCGCAAAAGCUACCUUCUCUGGAGGAGCUGUGUUUAUUAGAUACAAAACCAACCCACUUUGUGGAGUCUUGGUGAUUCAUAGUAACCGAACGGAUCGCAGUUUGCCUUCGGGCUCGCGAUGGAUCAUUCAAGUUUCUGACCUAUCAGCUUUCGACGGUAGGGUAUUGGCCUACCGUGACAGUGACGGGUAACGGGGAAUUAGGGUUCGAUUCCGGAGAGGGAGCCUGAGAAACGGCUACCACAUCUAAGGAAGGCAGCAGGC
rnacentral:ncRNA from 1 species